UACGUAGCAGCGAGCGUUGUUCGGAGUUACUGGGCGUAAAGGGUGUGUAGGCGGUUUCUAAGUUUGGUGUGAAAUCCUCCCGGCGUCAACCGGGAGGUGCGCCGAAAACUGGGAGACUAGAGUGCGGGAUGGAGAGUAGAAUUCCUGGUGUAGCGGUGAAAUGCGUAGAUAUCAGGAGGAAUACCGGUGGUGUAGACGGCUCUCUGGACCGCAACUGGACGCUGAGACACGAAAGCGUGGGUAGCAAACAGG
rnacentral:rRNA from 1 species